rnacentral:rRNA from 1 species
GAUGAACGCUGGCGGCGUGCCUAAUACAUGCAAGUCGAGCGAACGGACGAGAAGCUUGCUUCUCUGAUGUUAGCGGCGGACGGGUGAGUAACACGUGGAUAACCUACCUAUAAGACUGGGAUAACUUCGGGAAGCCGGAGCUAAUACCGGAUGAUAUUUUGAACCGCAUGGUUCAAAAGUGAAAGACGGUCUUGCUGUCACUUAUAGAUGGAUCCGCGCUGCAUUAGCUAGUUGGUAAGGUAACGGCUUACCAAGGCAACGAUGCAUAGCCGACCUGAGAGGGUGAUCGGCCACACUGGAACUGAGACACGGUCCAGACUCCUACGGGAGGCAGCAGUAGGGAAUCUUCCGCAAUGGUCGAAAGCCUGACGGAGCAACGCCGCGUGAGUGAUGAAGGUCUUCGGAUCGUAAAACUCUGUUAUUAGGGAAGAACAUAUGUGUAAGUAACUGUGCACAUCUUGACGGUACCUAAUCAGAAAGCCACGGCUAACUACGUG